UUUAAUAAGAAAAGGACAAAUACAAAAACGGAAAAAUAUCCUAAAUCGUGUAUUUUAAAUAAAAAUAAAAUAACACGUUGAAAAUUCAGUUUAAACUCUUGUUAUAAAAUGUUAAAAGAAAAUUUGAGCUUCGUGCUGGAAACGAUCCGGUAUUCACCAGCCAUGUCACGGAUACGCCAUCGAGGGUUAAAGAUCUCUCGUUUUGUUCCACCUGUUAGAAGUUGUUCCGCGGAGGGGAUUCAAAGUCGUUAGGAAUUUUUCUCUGAACCGUCGCUCGAUUUUCAUGGUAAAUGCUCGAAUCUCGUGACUUCCUUUCGUCCAGAACAUAGACGACAGCCCCUCUUCCCCUUCGUGAUUUUUGCUUAUAGCCUACCCUAUCCGAUAAAUUCUCGAAAAAGAACCGCAAGAAUUUCCUGCUCUAUUUCACACGUUGAUUUUAUCUGGUUCGCGCGUUUGUUUUUUCGACUGUGACAUGAUUCACUUGGCUUUGUGUACGGAUUGUUUUAUUUAAAGGAUCGUUUAAAGGAAAAUUUUACAAAUGCAUACAUUGUUGAUAGGCAAUUGAAUAUUUAAUAAUAAAAUUUCUAGAUAUGAAUAAAUUAUUGCGAUUAUAAUACAAUAUUAAUGUUAAUUGAAUAUUUACAUUAUAAAGAACAAAUUGUGGAUGUUUAUGCAUAAUUUUUCAUAAAAAUUAAACUGUAUAUGAUAUAUAUGAUAUAUGAUAUGCAAAAGACAUAAAGUAUUCAAAGCAAAGUACAUAUUACGAUAUUUAAAGAUUGUAAUCUAAUAUAGAAAAUGAAUUAUAUUUUAAUAAUCUUGAUACAAUUGUAUUUUCGACAACAAUAAUUUAUGACAUUAUGGAAAAAUAUUGUUAUAUUAAAAAUAAUUGAUUUUUUAAAAUUUAUGAGAAAAUUUUUAUGAAAAUCAGAUAAAGAUCAUAAUCGAAAUGCGGAUGCUAAAUUGUGUAAAAUGAAUAGAAAAAAUAGCAUAUGGAAAAUUUGAAAGUUUGUCUCAAGAUCUUACGAAAAUUAUACCUAUCUUCCCAGAGAAUCUAAAAAUUUUAAAAAUUCGUGUUCGUUCUAUGAGACAUUAGGCUUUCAUAAUUCGUGUUUAUCAUUCGAUCCAAGCUAAAACAGUUUCGAGAGAUUGUUAUUCGAGAAUCGAAAUGGCAGUCUAUUAAACCUCGAAUUAUUCGAAACAUGGUUGCUACUCUUAAUUUUCAUUUCCUUAUCUUAUCGUCUUUUUUAGAUCGCGCCAACGAUCUGCAUGAAAGGAUUUAAUUUAUAAUUUCGAACAAGCAAAAUAGGUACAACAGAGAAAUGAUGUUUUCGUGAACUUUACGAAGUGUAAUUUUCAACUGGGCGCUGAUUCUUUCGAGUUUCAAUGCGAUAGAACUAUGGUACGGUUUUUGUUUCGUGAUUCGAGAAAUGAUGCGAUAUUUUAAAGCAAGUUUGUGCUUUAUAUACUUGAUAUUUUUUGUAUUAUAUAUUUUCGUUGUUUUGAUAUCUGAAAUUUAUAUUCUAAAGUCUCUAUAUUAUUUAUAUAGUAAAUUUGUGUAACGUCAUUUUAUAAUGACAAGAAUGUAAAUUUCGGGUAAAGUCGGAGAAAUUCGGGCAAGAUCGGAAACGAUCCUACCCGAGUUUUUCCGACUUGUUCCGAACUAUGUCAGAGCUUAUACUUCUAUGAAAAGGAAAAUAGAAAAGAAGUUGUAUUUAUGUUACUUAUUUUCAUGUUAUAUCACUGUGAAUAUCAUCUAGCGAUAAGGUGCAUGAUUUAUUAUUUCUACAGUAUUAUUUAUACCAUCGUAUUAUUCAUGCUAUUGUGUAUUUGUUUUAAGAGAAUAGUUUUGAUAAAAAAGACACAAAAAGAUUAUCAAUGUUUUCUGCGUUAGAAAGAACCCUACAUUAUGGACCAAUUGCCGAAGGGGCUUGGAUCUCCCAGCAGAGUCACACGCGUAUGACAGGUAAUUUCGAGAUAGCCUUCAGGUAUCGUAAAUUAACGCUUCAUAUUGAAGCGUUUUUCUUCGAUGAAGAUUUAUUUUCUGCACGCUUGUCACGUUCGACGUGCCUUUAAGCGAAUCGAAACGAUGAGAAUUGUACCCAAUGACCGUAAUAUCAAUGGCCUAAGAUAUAGUUUCACAUAGCCAUUUUUUGUAAUUUUUAUUAAAUAAUAUAACGUAAUAUAACCACAUUAGUGUUUUGAUGUUAACUCAAUUUUAAAACUCACUACUUUUUAAUAUCGCUAGAAUCUCUAAAUCUCUAAAUCUUUUUUACGUAGCAUUUUAAGAUUAACAUUGAACAAUUUUAUACUAAUCUAACAAGUUUUAUCCUCAGAAACUCAACGCAAGUAUAAAGAGAGAGAAAAAAAAUCUCAAUUAUUAAUUUUAUUCAAAGGUUAUCUUUUCUCGUAAAUAGUCGCAAUAAGAUUUAUAACAUCUCAAAAAAAUAAUUCCCCAAAGGGUUAAUAUACGAAUGUGAGAAAUAAGUACAUAUGAUAGGAAAAAACCUCGUUUUAAGGUGGGUUAUAUUGGCGAAUGCAAAAGCAUGGCGGACAAUCGUACGUAUCCGAGGCGAGGAAAUAUAAUCGUGACUUGUUCCGUUCGUCGUUCGUCUCCCGGUGGAAUACGGAAGAAAAGUCGAUAUCCGGACGAACAGUCGGGUGGCACGUUCUUGAUAUCGGUAGAACAUGUGUAGUACGUACGAGUGUCGUGUGAAAUAAGCGGAAAAGAGAGGGAGAGACAGAGGGAUGGAUGGACAGGGAGGAAUAUAUGGUGUAUUCAAGCAAAGGGGGGGAGACCAUGUGACAAUGGCCGAAGGUGGGAAUGUAUCGUGGUUUGUAAUUCGAGAACUGGCCUAGAAGAAAUUGAAUGAAAACUGGACUUUCUCUUGUGGAAACGUCGUUGGUUUUAUGAAGUAUCCUUUUUCUUUUUGUUUGAUAUGGAUAUGGAUGCAUAACAAAAUCAAUUACGUCCAUUUAAUUUUUCACUGAGAUGUAUUGUAUUUUUAUUCAAUAUUUUUGCUAUUAAAGAGAAACAUUGUAAUAUAUGUUUAUAUGUUUUUGCUGAAAUAUGAGAAAAUUUUUUAUGAAAAUUCAUAGGUGUGUUAAUUAUGUAUACAAAGAAUUAUUUUGAAUCAUUUUCUUUAUUGUAUGGGCUUCAUGAAAGGAUAAAUCUUUGGAUUUGAAUACUAUCUUUAAUACUAUCUAUUUCUAAAAAAAAAGAAGAAUAAAAGUUUUACAUCAAGAACUAACAAAAUUUUUGUUUAUUUAUUUAAUUAUUGUUUCUUUUUUACUUGUUUUAAAAAUAUUCAAAAAUAUUAGUUAUAUUUCUCUUGAUACAAAAAUUACUAGACUAUCUUACUAGUAGUAUCUUUAAUAGCCGCUAACAGGCGCUAGUGUCGCCUCGCGAUCAUCGCAAUCUUGAUUAAUUCUUUGUUCGUGAUUGUUAAAAAAUACAAACGAUUUCAUACAAUUUCAAUCGACCAUCAUUAAAAUUUCGUUAAAACAAAUUUCCGUCGCGAUUAAUAUCCGAUUAAUUCGAAACGGACGACGAAAAGAAAUAACAAAAUCGAAAACGAAUUCCACGAAAGCCAAACGAAGCGAACCAUAAGCAUUAACCAUAACCGGAUUUAUAUCCCCGCUGACCAUCGACUUGUACACCCAAUUCCCUACAAGGGAUACGAAACGCAGAUUCACGAGUCGCGUUAACGCACGUCCGACUUCAAUUAUACACGAAUUAUCGACGAGAACGUGCGUUACAGUGGGAUUAAUUAAAAUUGAAUAUCUCGUUGAAAUUUAAUUGCACGAUCAAAGCGAGACACACGGUUGGAGGGAGGCGAGAAAGCGAUGGGCCAAUGGUGGACUUGGGAUAAUCGGCGUGAUUGUCGGUGUCAAAACUAGAUACGCGUGCUCUCUCGCUCGAUUUGUUAGCUUUUAAGCGCUAUUGCAUUCGAUAAUACGUAGAAUAAUUUGAUAACUGUGGGGCAAGGUUGCUCGUAUGUUCAUCCAUUGGUUAGGAAUUGAUCAUUGCUGGAAAAAUCAAAUUUCAGGAGUUAGGUACUGUGAUUGUGAUAGAAAUCGUGAUGUGGGAUUUUGACUCUUCGAGUGGUGAGAGAUGGAGUUUUGAAAUUUUAUUUUUGAAAAUGAAAUAAUCAAAUUAUAUUUUUUAACUUUUGACAAAGAUAUUUCAAUAAUUCUUCAGAUAUAUUGACAAUAGUAAUAGGAAUACGAAAUAAAUUUUAAUUUACAUAUAACAAUGAAAUGAUGAGCAAUAAAAUCUGUUAUAUUAAUUAUUUCUAAUUAAUCUCGUGUAUCAUUGUGUUCCGCCAAAAACUUUUCGACAUAGUAUCUUGCAUUCAUUUUCGUAAAACGUGUGAUCUAAUGCUCGAAAUUCCAAAAAUUCGUUUUAUAGUGAUUCGAUAUCGAUCCAACGAUGCUUCAAAAAAUUGAAUCGAAUUUCUCUCAAAUGCUUCUCCAAAUCUGUUGAUCGUAUUCCCUCGUAAAAAUCCCUCCUCUCCCCUCCCCCUCGACAAAAAAUGGCAAUUCUUCUUUCGAACGAGAGACCGAUGUAACGAACGCUUUCGAGAAAAUUCUUCGUGAUAUUCAUUGGAUUCGGAGGAACGAUUCGUAAAAAUGCGAUGACUCAGUGUGUCGCAUGUUACCGUGGCGGUUUCUGCCGACCUAAGCCCGUUGUCGAGCCUCGUGUCUGUACUCUGUUUCCCUUUGUGGACAAGGUUCGUUGUACCGGUGGUGUAAUGGAUCUGACCAAGAUGGAAUGGAAUGGGAAGAAUGUUGGUGGAAUAUGUUUGCUGUGGAACACGAUUGCGGAAGUUUUUAAAUCUUUUUCAGGGUUUAAUUUAUGGCCCUGGAUACUGAUCGUCGUAUUUGAUUAACAUUUUUAAAUAUUUAUGGUACAAUUCCGUAUUCCAUAUAAAUGAGGAUCCAAGAGAAUUGCAAAUCAAAGAAGAAAAAAAGGAAAUAACAUGUAUUCAAAAAUUGCUACAAUCGAAGUGCUACAGUUUAAAUGGAUCGAAUCCAGAACUAAUUUACAUGGAGGACCAAUCAA